UUGCUCCGCAGCAAAUACACUAAAAUAGAAACGAUACAGAGAAGAUUAGCAUGGCCCCUGCGCAAGGACGACAUGCAAAUUCAUGAAGUGUGCCAUAUUUUA
ensembl:snRNA U6 U6 spliceosomal RNA